UUGAGGUUAUCGGAUGAUGAUGAUGAUGAUGAUGAUGAUGAAGAAUAAAUAAAUUAAUAAAAAAAAAAAAAAAAAAGAGGCAAGUCGAACCGAUUGAAUCCCGCCAAUCUUCCGCCGACUCUAUUAUUCAAAAUCUCAUGACCGUUUUAUCAAGAAAACAAAAAGGUCACCUCAUGACCGUUUUAUCAAGAAAAACGAAAUAGAAACCUCGUGACCGCCUAAACAAUUGAAGAAAUCCCCAACUCUUCAGAUCUAAACCCUCAACCGCCUCAAGUCUCAAGAGUGAAAAUGAGCGAGAGCUGGGGCUUGCUAGUCCCUUCUUUAACUUCAAAUCCGAUUUUAUCAUUUAUUUGUUUGAUGAUCGUGAAGGCCUCGAGCUCUUGGGAGAUUGGAAGUGCCAUGGUAUUCUCCUUCUCUCUCGAUUCUGAAAUACACUUUGCUUUCUUUCUUUCCUUUCUGUUUCUCAAGUCUCACCACCAAAGGAAACCUAUCUUUCUAUCACGUCGCAUUCUUCGAGUUAAUCAUAGAGUGAGAAAUCCGUUCAAAUGUCGUCGAAAUCUUCCGAUCGUUCCGACAGGCAGCCGCCGUCUGCAUCCACUUAGAGGAGCGCCGCCGGACAUCCUCCGUGCGUUCUAAAGUAUCUUCCGCCGAAUGUUCUGUUGUGAACAAUGCAAGAGCUUCCUACUCCAAUGCCGAUGGCGAAGGUUCCUCUCUCUCUCUCCUUGCAAAUUCAUAUGCAUGUGGAAUUGGCACAAAGUUUUCCUUCACCAGGUGGUGAAAUCCGCCACCUGCAUCCUAGGGUUCACAAACCCUCAACCCCUAUAGGGUUUUAGACCAGGUGGUGAAGUUCACCACCGCCAUCCUAAGGUUCACAAACCCUAAACCGUAUUAGAACCUGUCCCAAAAACCCCUCAUGAUACCCCAUUUGUGCAUAUAAAGCAUCCAUGGUGAAUGGUUUGCCUUUGGAAAACUUGGUCCCAAUUUUUAUGUGGUUGAUGAUGAUGCACAUUACAUAAAACUCGAAAGUUUUCUCUGUACCCGAGUUGCUUUAUGUUUCUACCUCCCAUUGCCCUCUGUAGCCUCAAAUAUUUGUGGAUUACAAACGACCUAUCAACUACCCAGUCUUAUGUACGACCGUUUGAUAUCAACCCCAAAUCAGGGGGUUUGGGCUUUUAAUGCCCUUUUAGAAUUAUUUUGUUUUAGCUAUUUGCUAGCAAUUGUCGAUUAUCAAGUCUCUGUUGAACUGUAAUUUUCAACUCAAAACUAAACAUGCUGCAUCGUAGAGUCUGGACUAUAUUUAUGAAAUGAUAGGGAAGCAAAUUUUACAGAAAACGUUGUUAUCAUGUUAUGGAACAAUGUGCAGGACCAAAGUACUCAUUACCACUGUUUUGUAGAGUAAGGGGGGAGGGCUGUUUGAAGAAAGAAAAAGGGAAAAAUAAGAUAACUGUUCAUAUAUUCUGAGACGUUGCUUGCAAAUCAUCAUGGGAAGACCACACGGUAUUUUGUGUAUUUUUUCCUUAUUUGAUUGAAUUAAGGUUAUUUACAUCUCAUUAUAUGAAAUAGAUAUUGUUAGUUGAACAAUAGUUAUCUGUUUGGGACUUGGGAUUAGCUGGUGUAAUUUUUUAGAAUGGGAUUUCCAAAGGAUGCAGUUAUGUGUCUUGAGUACUGCUUUUGUUUGAUAGGAUGAAAUCUAUUUGUCAACUACUUCAUGCGUGUAAAUUAAAUCCCAUGACAUUCUUGGAAAGUACAAGCCAGACGAUCUUGAACAGCUCACUGGAUUCACCUUACCAUAAGCCAAGUUUACAAAAUUGGACAUAACUCCACUCUGCAAAACACCUUAUCCAAAGUAAACAGGGUCAGUUUUGCAAAUCCUGUUUUACCAUUCCAUAAUCCACCCUUUCUAUAGACAUAUCAGCAAUUUGCUCAUAAUUGCUCAUGUAAUGUCAAAAGUUAGGCUCGGACGUCCUUUGGUGAUUGUUUAUGCUAUCAGGAACAUCCUGAGCAUUUUGUUGGGCAGGGUUAGAAGCAAGUUGGUACUUUUGUUGUUUACCAUAGAAAAAAAGAAUCUAAAGUUAAGCUUGCAUUCUCAUCAAUCCUUUCUGUUGGACUUUAGAAAUGACUUUGUUAAUGGCUCCUUGUCAAAGUUCAAGAAUAAAGAAACAUUUUUCGGGAAGUGUCUCAUUUUGAUAAGCUUUCUUACUACAGAGCCAGGAAGGGUGCGAGUUGCUGUCAGACUUCGACCAAAAUAUCUGAAGAUAACAUUUCUGAUUCUGAUUUUUCUGAUUGUGUUGAAUUACAGCCAGAGGUGCUAGAUUUUCCAUUCAUAGAAUCAUAGGAUUUAUCAUUAUUUUCUGUUAUUUAUUUAUUUAUUUAACUUUUUUCCCUUUUUCCUUUUGUCUUGGAUGAUGGGAUUGUCCAAUGGUUGGUUCUCACUCUCUCCAAUGAAUUUGGUGGAAAUCUCUUUUUUUUUAAGUUUCUUCUCAUAAAUGCCUUGUUCAGAACUUUGUACAGAUCGAAGCUGUGAAGCAAAUAUAAACUACCUUUUGUCCCCCUCUCUACAGAUGAAGAGGUUGAAGUUAAGGUAAAACAAUUGGAGCUCUGAAUCUUAUAAAUUUGAUGAAGUAUUUAUUGAAAGUGCUUCUCAGAAGUGAGUUUAUGAGGUAAUUGCAAAACCUGUCGCUGAGGUAAGUAUUGAAGGUGGGCAGUUUUGAAAGCUCAAUAACUUUGAGCUUCUGUGCUGAUAUUGCUAUGUACUAACAAAGCUACUAUACUUGGUUAUAGUGUUAAUUAGAUACUUGAUUAUAGUGUUAAUUAGGAAAGGAAUGGAUGGGUUGUUUUGUUUACCAAUAAAUUGGAAGAUUAAUAAAAAUUUACCUUUACUUUGUCUCUGUAAACAUCCCAGAAGCUCAGGCUUUUGAUGCUGUUAGUCUCACAGCAUAUAAAGCGUAAGAAAAUCAAAAGUCAAGGAAAUCAGGGUUUCCUUCCAACUGAAAUUGAUUGCAAAAGGACUCUAUUUUCAUGAAUUAUACAUUCUUUAUGAAGGUGACCUGCGUGGUUCUCUCCAUUCUCUGUCAUGCAAAUGUGUGUAGUUGGCACUGCCACUCUUUCUUUUGGCCCAGGGGUGGGGUGGGGUGUGGCCGGAGGCAAUUGAGUAGUAAGUAGGGGUAGUAAGUUAAUGCUGGUGUUUGGAAAUGUUGGCCUAUGGUAUCAACAUUCAUAACCACUUUACCGUCUAAACAAACUGAGUUGUUAAAUAAACUCAGAUUUCUGACAGAAAUGAGAGAAGCCAAACAUUAGCUGUGUUUUGAACCAUUUCUUCAUAUUAAGCUUUGCAAGAAGUGCAACAACUGUCCUUAAUUAACAAGGAUCCUCUCCUUUAAAAGAAUUUGUCUUGCUCCACAUCUUCUCGUUUUCAGCACUUAUGGAGAUUAACGCUUGUAAGUGAACCAAAUGUUGGCUUCUCUGCAUAGUUUGUACUCAUGUGUGUUGUUGAAUAGGUUAUUCAUGUUGAACAUAUGAUUCAUUUUAUUGAUCUGGCUAUUUCUAUUGUCUGUUUCUUCUAUAGUUGUAUUUGAAAUCCAUACAGGAUUUUCUGGCUCCCGAGAAGAAUAAUAUUUCUUUUGUAAAGGACCCGAAGAUAGGUGAAGUAUCAUUGCUUCGUGCUACUGUAGUUAAAGUUCAAGAUCUUGGCCAUUUUCUGCACUUACUGAAAAUUGGUGAGGCAAACCGCUAUGCAGAAAAUACAAAUAUGAAUAUGGAAUCUUCAUGUGGUCAUGCAAUUCUUAUGGUUUUUGUCCGAAGAUCAGUCCAAAGAAAAGCUGAGAAUGAAUGUUCUUCUCAAGAGAGGGAUAGUGGACUUGAUUUAGCUUCUUACCACGGUGUACCUACCGUUCUGUAAAGCAAGCUGCUGAUAGUGGACCUCCCAGGAUCUGAGAGAAUAGACAAAUCUAGUCAGGGUUUUAGUUAAUAUAUCUUAAGUUUUAUAUAAUAUUUGCCACAUUUAGAAUUCAUCACAGUCAAAUGGUAUCAAAAGCAUUCCAUGUAGUAUAAUGCUCAUUUUUAAGGCUACAAUCUUAAAUACUCAAGGGGACUUGCAGUUAUCUAGGCAUCCUUAUAGUUGUCCAACUUCCUCAGUAACAAAAUAUUACUCAUCAGGUUGUUUAAAUAUUCUUGAA